rnacentral:lncRNA from 1 species
GAAAAUUUAAAAUUUUGGGCGUCCAAAAAAACACCGGGUCCAAAAGCUGGUACUGCCAACGGUGUUAGAUUUCGAAUCCGGAACCGGCUACGCCUUGAGUUGCGAUGAGUCCGAAAAUGCAAAUUAUUUGGUCGAAAACUCUCCGGAAGCUACCAGAUCAAGGCUGGAAAGUCCCGGCUCUGGCGAGGCUACAUACUGCUGCCGGCGGAGGAAAAACAGCGGGGGAAGCUCGGCUCGAG